GAGUUUGAUCUUGGCUCAGAUUGAACGCUGGCGGCAGGCCUAACACAUGCAAGUCGAGCGGUAGAGAGAAGCUUGCUUCUCUUGAGAGCGGCGGACGGGUGAGUAAUGCCUAGGAAUCUGCCUGGUAGUGGGGGAUAACGCUCGGAAACGGACGCUAAUACCGCAUACGUCCUACGGGAGAAAGCAGGGGACCUUCGGGCCUUGCGCUAUCAGAUGAGCCUAGGUCGGAUUAGCUAGUUGGUGAGGUAAUGGCUCACCAAGGCGACGAUCCGUAACUGGUCUGAGAGGAUGAUCAGUCACACUGGAACUGAGACACGGUCCAGACUCCUACGGGAGGCAGCAGUGGGGAAUAUUGGACAAUGGGCGAAAGCCUGAUCCAGCCAUGCCGCGUGUGUGAAGAAGGUCUUCGGAUUGUAAAGCACUUUAAGUUGGGAGAAGGGCAGUAAAUUAAUACUUUGCUGUUUUGACGUUACCGACAGAAUAAAGCACCGGCUAACUCUGUGCCAGCAG
rnacentral:rRNA from 1 species